rnacentral:misc_RNA from 1 species
GGCAACUCUGGUUGAGUUCAUCACGAAUCUGGUAACUAUGGUUUAUACAAUUUCAACUUCAAUGGAUAAAAUAGUUACAGAAAGUUCACAACAAGUACGCUAGACUUUGUUUUCUAGCAGUAGGUCUUUAGUCAUCCAGUGGUAAGACAUUUCAAAGGGCCAAAUUGCCUCUAAUUGUUAUAUAUUUAUUACAUAAAAUGCCUGUUAUGUCUUUCUAAACUAAAAAAAUCAUUUACAUGAUUAGUGAUCAAUGAUACAAUGCAUGUCGUUUCUCGAUUACUGGAUCUGCAUGCAUAUCAGCUCACAGUUACAAUCAUAAAGUAAUUAGCACAAAAAGAUAGAAUCAAGUGUGUGCGUAAAAAAAAGUUCUAAGCAUCUAUCUAAUGGGACCAACGUAGUCUAAUUGCAUUCACCAACUAAAAUAAAAGGAUGAAGCUUAUGGAGGACCAUCAACAAACUAGAAAGACAAAGUUCCUUACCUCAAGAUGUAUCACUAUCCUUGUAUGCACUACCAAGCUCUCCAACCUCCAUCUCAUCAUUGUCCACAAGUAAAGCACCCUCUAUAUCACCCAUUGUCUCCUCACACUCCAGUUGCAUGCUCAUGCAUUCUUUCUCAGAAUCAUUGUCAAUAAAAUUGUCAUACUCCAUGUCUGAUAAAUCACUGAAAUUUUCAAUCUUCUUUUUCUUUCCUCUGUAACCAACAAGGCUCAGGAGUUUUCCUUCCAAACAACCAAAGUGCCUUUCUCAAUCAGCUCUUGGCCUCCAUAAGCUUCAAUUCAAGAACACACUAAACCUCUUCCCCCCCUCAGAUACAUAGAAAAUCCCAACAUGCUUCAAAAGAAGUCUCAUCAAUUUUUGUGGCAUCACAAAUUCUCUUGGGAAGUGAGUAAGAUGAUCAUUAACCAAUCUCGUCAGUGGCAAAACUGAGCAAUUCAUGCAUAAUGGCAACAGCCUUCUUAUCAAAUUCCAGGGACCCAACUUGGAGUCCCCUGACAUCUGCAUAUGGUGACAAAUAAGACAUUUUCUUGAAGUGCUCAAUUUUCUCUCCAUAUCUAUACACCAGCUUCUUGUAAUUAGGAGGAAACUUCAAUAGAAAUGGCAAUGAAAGUAACACUUGUUCAUGCGCAUUUAUGUAAGUUGCCACUAACACCUUCUCUAACUCAGUGAUCGCCCAAUCAGGUUUCCAGGAUGCAAGUUUCAAGUACUCCUCUCCUUUAUUGGCUCAAUUAAACUUUCCUGUUCUUCCAGCAAACCCUCUGCUUCUUUCAUCAUCCCACACCAUAACACCCCCUUUGAUCCUCACAUAAUUCAAAAAGCUUAGGAGAUUUUAAAAGAAAAUCAGAUAUUUUAUGAGGUUUAGGUACAUAGAUCCAGGUCCUGUAUUGCCCAAGAUUCCUCACAGGGAUUACCAUCUUCACCUCCUGCUUCAAGACUUCCCUAACUGCUAUCACCUUCGACACUAUUUCGCACUUCUGUCACUAUCUCGAGAUCGUGCACUCUCUUUUUCCUGCUCCUCUCUUGGACAUGCGUACUCCUAGUCAUGAAUCGGCUUUGCAACCAACCCAACAAAGGUUCUCCAUACCACUUUGUUCUCAUAGGCAAAAACAGAAACACAUUAGCCUCGUUAAAUUUAUUCAUCAAAGCUUCAGCUUUAACGAUUUGGGUGGCCAUUCUGUAAUGAUAUGAGAAUCAGAAACAUAUUUCUUUAGAAGGAUGAUAUGGAGAUCAACAAAAAAUUCGAUUUCAUUAGGAUGUCUCCAUUUUAAUAUCUGGCAACUCUGGUUGAGUUCG